CAGUAAGUUAGAGAGAGAAAACUCUUCUGGGACCAUACUAUUCUCUGAUCAGAGAGAAGGGAACGAAGACUUCUAGUAGAGAGAGAAACCCAGAGAGAGAUCAAGGAGCAGAGAGACAAGAGAGAUUUGGAGGCACCGAGAAUUCAGCAAUCUUGGUGUGGUGAUUCAAGCCAAAAAAAAGAGAUACCCAAAUACAUAUAUGGACCUUUGAUGAAAAUCAGGGGAAAGAAAGUAUGGUUUGCAUGGAAUGGGUAUGCACUAAAUUAAACAAUCGUGGGAAUGGGUAUGCACCAAGAGAAAGUAGAGGGACUCGAUUAAACAAUCGUGGGAUUCACAAGAAAAAGAACAACUCAAAUUGCAAUACCUGGUGUUCUUCCAGAAGUUGCAGAGAAAUGGAAACGAGAUUUGCAGGAAACAGCGGAGAUAAGAGAGACUAUAGAGAUUUGGGGGCCGAGAGUUAACAGAUAUUUGGGGGCCAAACUUUGGGGAUUCGAGAGGUAAGAGAGAUUUGGGGGCUGAGAGAUAAGAUAGAGAGCGAGGGAUCACGACACGCAGGUGUAGAGAGAGAGGGUUGGAGAGUAGGCGGAAAUCACUCAACCACGAUAGAGAGAGAUCAGAGAGAUAAGAGGGUUCAUAGAUAAGAGAGAGAUCAGAGAAAUAAGAGCCGAGAGGUCUGAGAGAGAUAAGGGAUCAAGGACGUCUUAGAGAAAUACCGUGACAGAAAGGUUAAUCAGAGUCGAGGACCCACACAGAGAAGGUCAAGAUAGGAUUUCAGAUAACUUUGCUCUGACGCC
rnacentral:lncRNA from 1 species